GAACGCUGGCGGCGUGCCUAACACAUGCAAGUCGAACGGAGAAUAUACGCUUCAGAAGCUUCGGCAGAUGAUUGUAUAUUCUUAGUGGCGGACGGGUGAGUAACGCGUGGGCAACCUGCCUCAUGCUGGGGGAUAACAGCUGGAAACGACUGUUAAUACCGCAUAAGCGCACAGUGUCGCAUGACACAGUGUGAAAAACUCCGGUGGUAUGAGAUGGGCCCGCGUCAGAUUAGCCAGUUGGCGGGUAACGGCCCACCAAAGCGACGAUCUGUAGCCGGCCUGAGAGGGCGGACGGCCACAUUGGGACUGAGACACGGCCCAAACUCCUACGGGAGGCAGCAGUGGGGGAUAUUGCACAAUGGAGGAAACUCUGAUGCAGCGACGCCGUGUGAGUGAAGAAGUAUUUCGGUAUGUAAAGCUCUAUCAGCAGGGAAGAAAGGCUCGUAAGAGAGAUGACGGUACCUGACUAAGAAGCCCCGGCUAACUACGUGCCAGCCGCGGC
rnacentral:rRNA from 1 species